rnacentral:rRNA from 1 species
AUUGAACGCUGGCGGCAGGCCUAACACAUGCAAGUCGAGCGGAUGAAGGGAGCUUGCUCCUGGAUUCGGCGGCGGACGGGUGAGUAAUGCCUAGGAAUCUGCCUGGUAGUGGGGGAUAACGUCCGGAAACGGGCGCUAAUACCGCAUACGUCCUGAGGGAGAAAGUGGGGGAUCUUCGGACCUCACGCUAUCAGAUGAGCCUAGGUCGGAUUAGCUAGUUGGUGGGGUAAAGGCCUACCAAGGCGACGAUCCGUAACUGGUCUGAGAGGAUGAUCAGUCACACUGGAACUGAGACACGGUCCAGACUCCUACGGGAGGCAGCAGUGGGGAAUAUUGGACAAUGGGCGAAAGCCUGAUCCAGCCAUGCCGCGUGUGUGAAGAAGGUCUUCGGAUUGUAAAGCACUUUAAGUUGGGAGGAAGGGCAGUAAGUUAAUACCUUGCUGUUUUGACGUUACCAACAGAAUGAGCACCGGCUAACUUCGUG